AAAAAAAAAUCGCGAAGUGGCAACCCAUAGCAAUAUCUGCCGACGUCAACACGAAGGAAAGACAUUCGGCUGACACUGCCUUCUUGCGUUGUGGUAUCGGUUGGCUUUGCAAGAAGAUGCGUCUGGUUAUCUUGGAUGAUGGGGGCAGGGUUGCAGAGUGGGCAGCAAGAUACAUCAUCAAGCGAAUCAACGACUUUAAACCAGGACCACAGAAGUUCUUUGUCCUUGGCUUGCCCACAGGAAGCACUCCAUUAGGCACUUACCAGAGACUAGUUCAGUAUCAUAAAGCAGGGAAGAUUUCAUUCAAAUAUGUCAAGACAUUUAACAUGGAUGAAUAUGUUGGUAUUCCACGGGACCAUUCCCAGAGUUAUCACACCUUCAUGUGGGAGAAUCUCUUCAAACACAUAGACAUAGACCCAGCCAAUGCACACAUUCUGGAUGGCAAUGCGCCAGACCUCGAGAAGGAGUGUGAUCUGUACGAGCAGAAGAUUAAGGAAGCUGGAGGAAUUGAGUUGUUUAUGGGAGGCAUAGGCCCAGAUGGCCAUAUUGCAUUCAACGAGCCAGGCUCUAGCCUUGUGUCUCGAACCCGUGUCAAGACACUCAAUCAAGAGACCAUCACUGCCAAUGCCCGUUUCUUUGACAACGACAUGUCAAAAGUGCCAAAGCAGUCACUUACUGUGGGCGUCGGAACAGUUAUGGAUGCCAGAGAGGUAAUGAUUCUUAUCACGGGAUCACACAAAGCCUAUGCCCUUCACAUGGCCAUAGAGGAAGGGGUAAACCACAUGUGGACUGUGUCGGCGUUCCAGCAACACCCUCGCACCCUCAUGCUCUGCGACGAGGACGCGACCCUAGAGCUGAAGGUCAAGACUGUCAAGUACUUUAAGGACUUGUGGUCAGUGCACAGCAAACUCAUUGACGACCCAAUGAUGGCAUCGUUUCAAGAGUGAAGACUGAAGCCAUUUUGUGCUUCUCACUGAAAUCUUUGCAGUGGUGAUGGUCAUUCAUUAUUUUUUAGGUGAAGGCUUUAUGAUACUGGAUUUCAAAAUCCUUUUCCAAAUAUGACGAUGGUGCUAUUGAUCAUUGAGUAAGAUUUAUUUUUUAUUUUUGGAUAAAUUAUUUUUCAGAAAUUGUUCUUUUGGUAUAUUAACAAACAAACCUUUUAGAAAUAAAAACAAAAAGGAUUGCUUACAAGAUGAUGGUAGCAUUUACUUAUUACAGCUGAUGCACUGGCUUUGUGAUGGUUAAUACUUGAUAUGUUUUUUUUUCAAAAGACAUAAAUUGAUGCAGAGAUACCAUUUUGAUAUUAGAUUUGAUAAUUGUUGAUCUGCUGGUGAUCUAGUUUUGAUUAUUUUUUGUGAUAUCUAUAUUUUUGGAUAAUUAUCCUUCUGGGAGUAAUCUAGUGAAUUGAAAUUAUAUUGAGAGGUUAAAAAUUGUGAUAUAAAAAGUCUAUUCCAUCAUUGUGAUUUCUUAACAAUGAUAGUAAAAAUGUAGUUUUAAUCUUCCUGGCAAGGUAUGUUUUAAAGUUUUACUCUUUAAGGACAGCAUACUUAAAAUGAUCUGCAAAUUCUGAUGAAAAUACAAAAAAAGUGUUCACUUGAUAUUGUUAGCAAAAUGUAUUCAAGUAUCAUUUUAUUGCUUUAAAUAUUUGUAAUUGUUACCCUGUAUACCCUUAUUUUGGGGCUUUAUAUGCACACGUGUUCAUAACUGUUGGUACACCUUGUACUUGUAAGUGAAAGUAUAUGUAUAUCAGGUUUAUUAUAGAGAAUUGUAUUACAGUACAUGGUGUAUGCAGUUUAUUCAAUAAAAGGAAGAUUAUA
rnacentral:misc_RNA from 1 species